AUUGAACGCUGGCGGCAGGCCUAACACAUGCAAGUCGAACGAGUGGCGGACGGGUGAGUAAUGUCUGGGAAACUGCCCGAUGGAGGGGGAUAACUACUGGAACCGGUAGCUAAUACCGCAUACCAUCGGAUGUGCCCAGAUGGGAUUAGCUAGUAGGUGGGGUAACGGCUCACCUAGGCGACGCUCCCUAGCUGGUCUGAGAGGAUGACCAGGCACAAGGGAACUGAGACCCGGGCCAGACGCCUACGGGAGGCAGCAGUGGGGAAGAUUGCACAAGUGGCGCAAGCCUGAUGCAGCCAUGCCGCGUGUUUGAUGAAGGCCUUCGGGUUGUAAAGUACUUACAGCGAGGUGUCGUUAUUCGCUCAAGAAGCACGGUCUAAUGCCGUGCCAGCAGCCGCGGUAAUUC
rnacentral:rRNA from 1 species